GCCCGGGUGGCGAAACUGGUAGACGCAAGGGACUUAAAAUCCCUCCGCCGCAAGGCGAUGCGGGUUCGAUCCCCGCCCCGGGCA
rnacentral:tRNA from 1 species